GGGGCUGAUUCUGGAUUCGACGGGAUUUGCGAAACCCAAGGUGCAUGCCGAGGGGCGGUUGGCCUCGUAAAAAGCCGCAAAAAAAUAGUCGCAAACGACGAAAACUACGCACUAGCAGCUUAAUAACCUGCUUAGAGCCCUCUCUCCCUAGCUUCCGCUCUUAAGACGGGGAUCAAGAGAGGUCAAACCCAAAAGAGAUCGCGUGAAUACCUAGCUUGGGGUUGAAGCGUUAAAUCUAAUCAAGCUAGUUUGUUCGUGGCGUGUCUAUCCGCAGCGGGCAAAUGAAUUUAAAGAUUAGACUAAGCAUGUAGUACCGAGGAUGUAGAAAUUUCGGACGCGGGUUCAACUCCCGCCAGCUCCACCA
rnacentral:tmRNA from 1 species